rnacentral:lncRNA from 1 species
GGAAAAAUUGAUACUAUUGAAAUAAUUACUGAUAGGCAGUCUGGAAAAAAAAGAGGCUUUGGCUUUGUUACCUUUGAUGACCAUGAUCCUGUGGAUAAGAUUGUCUUGCAGAAAUAUCACACCAUAAAUGGUCACAAUGCAGAAGUUAGAAAGGCAUUGUCUAGACAAGAAAUGCAGGAAGUCCAAAGUUCUAGGAGUGGAAGAGGAGGAAACUUUGGUUUUGGAGAUUCUCGAGGUGGCGGUGGCAAUUUUGGACCAGGACCAGGAAGCAACUUUAGGGGGGGUUCUGAUGGAUAUGGAAGUGGACGUGGAUUUGGGGAUGGCUAUAAUGGGUAUGGAGGAGGACCUGGAGGAAAUUAUGGAAGUGGAAAUUACAAUGAUUUUGGAAAUUAUAACCAGCAACCUUCUAACUACGGUCCAAUGAAGAGUGGAAACUUUGGUGGUAGCAGGAACAUGGGAGGACCAUAUGGUGGAGGGAACUAUGGUCCUGGAGGAAGUGGAGGAAGUGGGGGCUAUGGUGGAAGGAGCCGAUAUUGAGCUUCUUCCUACUUACCAUGGGCUUCACUGUAUAAAUAGGAGAGGAUGAGAGCCCAGAGGUAACAGAACAGCUUCAGGUUAUCGAAAUAACAAUGUUAAGGAAACUCUUAUCUCAGUCAUGCAUAAAUAUGCAGUGAUAUGGCAGAAGACACCAGAGCAGAUGCAGAGAGCCAUUUUGUGAAUGGAUUGGAUUAUUUAAUACCUUACUGUGGAGGAAGGAUUGUAAAAAAAAAUGCCUUUGAGACAGUUUCUUAGCUUUUUAAUUGUUGUUUCUUUCUAGUGGUCUUUGUAAGAGUGUAGAAGCAUUCCUUCUUUGAUAAUGUUAAAUUUGUAAGUUUCAGGUGACAUGUGAAACCUUUUUUAAGAUUUUUCUCAAAAAGUUUUGAAAAGCUAUUAGCCAGGAUCAUGGUGUAAUAAGACAUAACGUUUUUCCUUUAAAAAUUUAAGUGCGUGUGUAGAGUUAAGAAGCUGUUGUACAUUUAUGAUUUAAUAAAAUAAUUCUAAAGGAAAUUGUGU